AGCGGAAGCUCAGUAACACGUGGCCAAACUACCCUGUGGAUGGGAACAAUCUCGGGAAACUGAGGCUAAUUCCCAAUAACGCUCCAGCCCUGGAACGGGCGGAGCUGGAAACGCUACGGCGCCACAGGAUGUGGCUGCGGUCGAUUAGGUAGACGGUGGGGUAACGGCCCACCGUGCCAAUAAUCGGUACGGGUUGUGAGAGCAAGAGCCCGGAGACGGAAUCUGAGACAAGAUUCCGGGCCCUACGGGGCGCAGCAGGCGCGAAACCUUUACACUGUACGCAAGUGCGAUAAGGGGACUCCGAGUGUGAAGGCAUAGAGCCUUCACUUUUGUACACCGUAAGGUGGUGUACGAAUAAGGGCUGGGCAAGACCGGUGCCAGCCGCCGCGGUAAUACCGGCAGCCCGAGUGAUGGCCGAUAUUAUUGGGCCUAAAGCGUCCGUAGCUGGCCGGACAAGUCCGUUGGGAAAUCUGUUCGCUUAACGAGCAGGCGUCCAGCGGAAACUGUUCGGCUUGGGACCGGAAGACCUGAGGGGUACGUCCGGGGUAGGAGUGAAAUCCUGUAAUCCUGGACGGACCACCGGUGGCGAAAGCGCCUCAGGAGGACGGAUCCGACAGUGAGGGACGAAAGCUAGGGUCUCGAACCGGAUUAGAUACCCGGGUAGUCCUAGCUGUAAACGAUGCCGCUAGGGGGUGGGGGGCAGGCUACAAGCCUGCGCUGUGCCGUAGGGAAGCCGAGAAGCGGGCCGCCUGGGGAAGUACGUCUGCAAGGAUGAAACUUAAAGGAAUUGGCGGGGGAGCACUACAACCGGAGGAACCUGGCGGUUUAAUUGGACUCAACGCCGGAAAUCUCACCAGCUCCGAAAGUAAUAAUGGCCGGUCAGGUUGAUGACCUUACCCG
rnacentral:rRNA from 1 species